UGCCCAGCAACUCCUAUCCCUACCUCCACGCGGUCGUAGGCUGACAGGGAAGG
rnacentral:ribozyme from 1 species